rnacentral:RNase_P_RNA from 1 species
GGAGCCGGACGGGCCAUCGCCGCGGACCGCAAGGUCCGGGGAGGAAAGUCCGGGCUUCGCAGGGCACGACGCUGGGUAACUCCCAGGAGGAGCGAUCCUCGGACAGCGCCACAGAAAGCAAACCGCCGCGCGGCAAGUCCGCGCGGUAAGGGUGAAACGGUGGGGCAAGAGCCCACCAGUUGCCGCGGCGACGCGGCAAGCUCGGCAUACCCCGUCGGAAGCAAGGCCAAAUAGGGGGGCGCACGGACCGGCCCGGUUCAUGCCCCCGGGUAGGCUGCUGGAGGCCGGGAGCAAUCCCGGUCCUAGAGGAAUGAUGGCCGCCCGGGCCGCAAGGCCCGGGAACAGAACCCGGCUUACAGUCCGGCUCCCAUU